AUUCAGCUGACGAGUUCCAAAUAAGAUGAAACGCGCGUCCUAGAU
rnacentral:hammerhead_ribozyme from 1 species